rnacentral:rRNA from 1 species
AUACGUAGGGAACGAGCGUUGUCCGGAAUGAUUGGGCGUAAAGGGCGCGUAGGCGGCCCGGUAAGUCUGGAGUGAAAGUCCUGUUUUUAAGAUGGGAAUUGCUUUGGAUACUGUCGGGCUUGAGUGCAGGAGAGGUAAGUGGAAUUCCCAGUGUAGCGGUGAAAUGCGUAGAGAUUGGGAGGAACACCAGUGGCGAAGGCGACUUACUGGACUGUAACUGACGCUGAGGCGCGAAAGUGUGGGGAGCAAACAGGAUUAGAUACCCUGGUAGUCCACACUGUAAACGAUGAAUGCUAGGUGUAGGGGGUAUCGACCCCUUCUGUGCCGCAGUCAACACAAUAAGCAUUCCGCCUGGGGAGUACGGCCGCAAGGUUGAAACUCAAAGGAAUUGACGGGG